rnacentral:tRNA from 1 species
GCUCCCGGAGUCCCCGCUGGCGAGGGAUGCCAGCUUUUCAAGCUGGAGGUCAGGGGUUCGAUUCCCCUCGGGAGCA